GUCUAAGUCAAGUGACAAGUUCAUGUUAAUCUGAUUAAGAAGUCACAAGUCAUAAAAAUUGCGACUCGAGUUCAAGUGACACGACUAGAGUCUAUAACUCUGAAUUUAUCUCCAUGCAUGAUCAACGCUGAUUUUCAAACGAAAAAAUGUGGGUCACAUGACCACUCGAUCUUGUAAUUUGAUACAAGACAAAUCUGAUACGCAAUGCAAAUUAUAAAUAUGAAAGCUAGCUUGUAUAGCAUUUCUUGGAAAAUUAACCAACUUUAAACCAGCUAAUAUGCGUUCUACCCGAGGCAGUACUGUAUUACGUUUAUAUGGACCCAGCUGUCCACCUUGCUACCCGAAACCGAUCGGUGGUAAGUAAAAUUAUUUAAAAUUCCAAAUAGUCAGUUGCGUAAAAGGGGAUUUUCGCUUUCCCCAAGCGCUAUCAUGAUGAUGGUCAACUUGCAUUUGUCAGAGUAAGAAAAUAGCGUAGAAGCCUUGUACGAGUUGUAUCUGGUGGUAAAUUUAUAUAAUCCUGACUGUGAACAUUACUGAAAUUGAUCAUCAUUUUCUGAAACCUAUACCCAUUUUUUCGUCAAUUCAAUAUUGAUAUUAGUAACUAGUUGACUGCAACACGAAACGACAGCGGCUAUCGAUACAAUUACGGCUAAUUAUACUUUCGCGUACUUAAAUCGUAGUUAAUUUUACCAUAACAUAAUUCAUAAACCUUCUCAAAAUGAAUUAAAUUCAUUGCCAAUACGUAAUAAUUCGUUGGGUAAUACACAACAUUCUUUUACAAAUAUUGACAUCUUGUAUGAAACUCUAUUUGACGGCUCGUGCACUUUCACACUACUGGAUACAAGAGACGCAGUCAGUUGAUCCACCAGACUAAUAAAUAGAAGAUAAGACGAUGUUUCCCUUCGCGUAUUAUGAACGACAAUAUUGAGAUUUAGCAAAGAUGAUACUGCAUGAAAGAGGUCAUUGGCACUACACACGUAAAAACUCUCAAGUUAAUUGUUACAGGUCUGCAAACAAGUUGUUACAAAUCUGUUCACAAGCUGUCGGUUGUUGACGGCUGGUUUGGGUGCUUGCAUUGUUAUGCAAGAAUCGUAACCGAAACCUUGUUGGAACAACCUUGCAACAAGUCUAAUAAUAUCAACAAGAUUGUUACAACACAACUUGACAACUUGUUGACAUAUUGAAAGAUAUAAGAUUAUAUAUGUACUCUUGUAUAUAUAUUCCGUCCUUCCUGCAACGGGGCAGUUGAGACUGACUGCUCACGAAAAUAAUCUGUUUGGACAAUUGAUUUUGUCUUAUACCAGUAUGCGACAAGAAUGACUCCAAAACAGCUAGAUAGCAGUCGAAUUUAGCGUACCGUAUACUAUGUUUACAAUUUACAUGAGAGGCCGGCGCCAUGCAACCAAAUUGCAUGCGCGUUUCCUUGUUGCGAUCACGAAGGAUGCAUGUACUGACUGAACAAAUUGGAGUACAGCUAUAACCAUACGACUUUUUAGUUUGUCAAAAACAUAUGUAAAUUUUAAUGGCUUAUAACAUUUCUUCUAGGACCUUCCCAGUGCGAAUUGAUUUCGUUGGCUAGAGAUCUACUGCACAGAGAAAACCAGAGGAAAGAAACUAGCAAACUUACAUUCAGCUUGAGUGAUAGUACUUUUUAUUCACUUUAAGUUACAGCAUAUGUAAAGUGGUUCAUUGAUUUCGUUACAUCACUGAAUGCCUUUAAAAUUCAUUAUGAAAACUCAUUGAGUUAUCAAGACAAUUCAGAUGAAAUGAGUUUAUAAAUGUCUUCAACAGAUUUCGUCAAGAUUUGGUCUCGAUUUAGCCUGCAAAGCCCCCGGCCCCCUCCCUGUGUAUAAGUCCACAGUAUUCACUAACGCUUAGCACCCCCCCCCCCCUCCCCUCGAAUAUAAGCCCCUCUCUCCCCAGAAUAUAAGCCCAUGGGCUUAUUAUUGGAAUGGUAUUUUUGACAUUUAUUAACGCAACGACGGGAAUUCCAACUUAGACGAGUAACAAUAAUUACAUUACAGUAUUAUAAUAUCCACCAACAUGUGAAUAUAUCACAAAGUGGUUGAUAUCACAAACAUGAGGACAACUCGAAAUGGUAUUUCAUUAGUUCAGAAUCAUUCUAAGAAUACACGCUUCUGGAAAGUGUCCAGUCUUGGCCAUACAGCCUCGUUUUCGUGAUUGAAAUACUGAAUUUUGGCACCGGGGGUGGCACUGAAGACAGGGGCUUUUUAAGAAUUUGUCCGUGAAGGGGGGGGGGGCGGUUGUUGGGCGUCAACAAAAGGAACAUACUAUAAUGAGUGUGGAGAGAUGACAGAUGGUUGUUGGUGACAGAAAGUUUGGUGUGGUGUCGUAUGUAAUAGUGGGGCCAGGGGGCAUUCUCCCCCAGAAAAAUCUUGUAUUUUUCCACCCUCAAGGACUGCAUUUCGUGCGUUUUCUGAAAACUAGAUUUUGGAUAUACAGCGUUACAAUAUACUGUAGACCCAGAGGCCGCGGAACCAGGGGGGAGGGGGCAUUGGUGGCAGGCUUUCUCCCCCCCCCCCACACUUUUUGUGUAAGAAGAAAAUGUGUCCUUUUUUCCAGCAAUUAAAGAGGAAUUAUAAAUGCCCCCUUAAGCUAAGAAGUCUACAAAUGCCCUGUCUUAUUGUUAUGCAUGUAAACAAGGACUGGACUUAAACACUUUGUUAUCAAAAACGACCGAAAAGUUAGAUUUUUUGGCAAUUUUGAAUGAAGUUGCAUUAAUUGAUAAAAAAAUGUAAAAACAAAUUGUGGUUGUGUUUAUGUUCAGUUUAACAUAUUUACAAUGUUUGCUGACUCAAGUGCCCUUUCUGGUCAGUGCCCCCACUUUCGAGGUGCUUCCGCGGCCUCUGGUGGAUAGACCGCCUCUUCAGUUAAGUACUUGCAUGGUACCCUACAAAGAAAGUUUGAUAGCCUCCAAUUUACUACCGAUUAGAUUCUGGCACGAAUAUUUAGAUUUGGUACAUUUUUUCAAAAUGAGUAAUGGUUUGAUCUAUGCAAACAAAGAUGUACUACCAGCAAGAAAUCUUGGCAAUGAAAGGAAAACGAGAGCAGCAAGCAUUCCAGACCUUAUCUUGUUCCGUACUAAGAAAUGCAAGACUGUAACCUACCAGACCUCCUCCAUCAACAGAACAACAAGAAUAUGGAACAUUCUUCCUAAUGAACUUAAACAUCAUGCAGUCUCUUUUUUUGUCCACAUUUAAAUAUUUACUUUACAGAUAUUACAUCACUGCUAUCAAUAUGAACUAUGAAUCUGAAAAUCCCCGGACUUGGAAAUCAAUCUGCUUGAAAUGUAACGCUGCUCGUAGUCUUGCUACUCCUUCCUCUUGUUGUUCCUGAUAGUUGUACUUGUUCUCGUAAAUUAAGUUAUGUUAAUGUAUUGUAUAUUUAUAUAGUAUUUGUAAAAUAGGGCCUCACAGUAAUUGUUUUUUAUACUGUUGUGGUGAUCUCGCCACUCUUUUAUGUGGUAAAGUUGAAAUAUAUAUAAAACUUUGUAGAAUUCUCAAUAAAAUUGUUAAAGAUGUGGUACAGUCCGUAUGUAAACAAAGGUUUUG